rnacentral:lncRNA from 1 species
UGUAUAAUAGCAUUUGGUUCCUUAGACAUGACUUUCAAUAGCAGAGAAUUUAUUCUUUUCUAGCAAUACAUAUACAUGACAGUGUACAUAGAAGUCAAAUUAGUAGACAGAUAAAAAUGCUUGCACAGUAAUAGUUGUUUCUCGUAGAUUGCAGGUAUAUAAAAAUGCAGAAGUUUAAUAAAUGAUUUCACCAAGAUCAGCGGUGAGAAGCAACCCCUCCUCACUAUAUGUCACUCAAGGGAGAAGCUAAGAAGCAAGAGAUUAAAGAUAUGUUUGGUUCUUGAUCGAAAUUAACAUGGAUUAGGAUGGAAAUUAGAAUGGUUAUUGUUGUAGUUCUAAUAAUAUGGAGGACACCAACAGUCCCACAUCGGUUGGGAGUCAAGAGAGACUCGCCCUUAUAAGAAAAAAAAAAUUUUUCCACGUGAGGCGCUUUUUAAAAGGCAAAACCGUAAGACCCAUGAGCCAGAGCGGACAAUCCCUAACGUAAUAGGUCAAAUUCUUGUCUGCAACAAUGGUGCCCCAGAAAAGGGUCGAGAUUCGUCUCGAUUUCCUGGAACUGUUCUACCUUGGCUGAUUGUGGAGCUCCUCGGACUGUACAUAUCGGAGUCUCCCUUGACCAGGGAGCUCUGUUGUGGUUCUAAUAAUGUGGAGGGCACCAAUAAUCCCACAUCAAUUGUGAGUCAAAGGAGACUCGUGCUUAUAUAUGAGAUAUCUUUUAAAGAGUAAAAUCGUACGCUUAUACAUGAGGCAUCUUUUAAAGAGUAAAAUCGUGAGACCCAUGAGUCAGAAUGGACAAUACCUCACGUGAUGGGCCGAGCUCUUGUCCGCAAUAGUUAUAAUUCUCAGUGCAUUUGGUUUGUGACUAUAAUAGAUAUUGGAAUGGCCAAAUAGAGCAUCUAUGAAAAAUCAAUUAAACAAAGAGAAAAUCAUUUUUUUCAAAAUAAGCCCAGAACGACAAUUGAAUAGUGAGGGAAAAUUGGGAUUUGAUUUGGAGGUACCAGGGCAUUUCCUUUCUUACCUAGAAUUCCUAUUCCCAUUCUAGUACCCAAUUCCUUCAAACCAUUCUAGAAUUUAUCUAAUCUUCUAUUUGAAUCCGAACUAAUGGAGACCUUCAAUUAUCCUUUUUGCAUAUCAAACUUAACCACCUCAACCUUGUCCGCCCUUAUCCAAAAAUGGUGUGCAACAAAUCUUGGAGCAUUCCAAGGACUCAGGCCGAACUCUAAUGGCCCAAUAUGGUCAAUGGCACCAUUUCUAGAAAUCUUAAUGUUUUGUAAAAGAAAUCAUGCUCUACGUAAAUAUGUUUCCGAGAACAAAGCAUAUCAUUAUUUUUGCUCUCAUUUUAAUCCUAAAAAAGUAUAUUUGUUGCAUCCAAUUCAUA